CAGUAGCCGCGGUAAAACGAAGGGUGCAAGCGUUACUCGGAAUUACUGGGCGUAAAGCGUGCGUAGGUGGUUGUUUAAGUCUGCUGUGAAAGCCCUGGGCUCAACCUGGGAAUUGCAGUGGACACUGGGCGACUAGAGUAAGGUAGAGGAUAGUGGAAUUUCCGGUGUAGCAGUGAAAUGCGUAGAGAUCGGAAGGAACAUCUGUGGCGAAGGCGACUAUCUGGGCCAUUACUGACACUGAGGCACGAAAGCGUGGGGAGCAAACAGGAUUAGAUACCCCUGUAGUCCCUGUCUCUUAUAC
rnacentral:rRNA from 1 species